GUGGCCGCAGCCCGACAGCGUGACGGACGCCAGGUUGGGGCACCUGUGAGGAGAGUGCGGUGAUCCGGGGCUCACUGGCUUGUUAAAGCCACCCAACCGCCCCGGGGGAGUGAGUGGACUCAUUUACCGAGGAGGACUCGGGCCCUGCGAGGUCACUUCAUCCUGGCCCAGGUACAGCAGCUCCAAAUCGUGGGGAUUCUGUAAGAGCUUGCUACCUGCUGACUGAGGAGGCCCACGAGUCGAGCAAAAAGAAUGAUUCCUCAGCAGUCAUUGUGAAAUUUUGUGGGCCACAAGUAUUGUGCACACAUGAUCCUUGAUUUAGAGUCAACCUGAUGUCCAUUACAGCUGUGGAAAGGCAGCAGGCAGUUGUGUCGCUCUUCACAAUAAGGAACAUAUCUUGCUUUCAGCAUGUGAGAGGAACAAAAGCAUUGAUGUAAAUGUGCCUCAAAGUGAGAACUGAAAACAUUAACACAAAAUAAAAAAGUCAAAUAAGACUAAGUUCUUAAAA
rnacentral:antisense_RNA from 1 species